AUUGAACGCUGGCGGCAGGCCUAACACAUGCAAGUCGAACGAGUGGCGGACGGGUGAGUAAUGUCUGGGAAACUGCCUGAUGGAGGGGGCUAACUACUGGAAACGGUAGCUAAUAACGCAUACCCUCCGAGCUGCCCAGGUGGGUUUAGCUAGUUGGUGGGGGAACGGCCCACAAAGGCGACGAUCCCUAGCUGGUCUGAGAGGAUGACCAGCCACACUGGAACGGAGACACGGUCCAGACUCCUACGUGAGGCAGCAGUGGGGAAUAUUGGACAAUGGGAGCAAGCCUGAUGCAGCCAUGCCGCGUGUAUGAAGAAGGCCGUCGGGUUGUAAAGUACUUGCAGCGGGGAGGCGUUACCCGCAGAAGAAGCACCGGCGAACUCCGUGCCAGCAGCCGCGGUAAUAC
rnacentral:rRNA from 1 species